CCCCCAGGCUCGGAGACAGGUUGCCCGUGAGUGUCACCCAGCCUCAGGGUUUCCCCCGGGGGCAGUGGGAUGCCCCACCCUGCCCUCGGGCCACAGAUGAGGUCAGCAUGCCUCGGCAUCACAUCCGCAACCCCAAACUGAGGCAGUAUUACCUCAAAGAGGCUACGCUCCCAUGCGAUGUUUCAACAGUCCAGUCAAGCAGUGGAAAUGAGCAAGGGUUAUCGGCAACGCCCCCUUACUCUGGCUCGGAGCCCAGCCUGGGGGCCAUGACCCCAGCCACCCCUGUGUCUCCGUCCACAGAUGCGGAGUAUGACAAGCUGCUGGUGAGUAUCUGCGUGUAUUUGGGGAACAUUAGCUAAGCAGAGACCUGUCUUUGUGUUUACUGCUGGUCAACCCAUACGGGAUUUCUAAGGGCCGAUUAUAUAUCCCAACUGAUAAAAUAAUUUAAAUAAUAAGUAAGACCCAAA
ensembl:lncRNA